CAACGGCCGCGGUAUCAUGACCGUGCAAAGGUAGCGUAAUCACUUGUCUUUUAAAUAAAGACCCGUAUGAAAGGCAAAACGAAAGUUCAACUGUCUCUUUAAUCCAAUCAAUGAAAUUUAUCUUUUCGUGCAGAGGCGGAGAUAAAUAUAUAAGACGAGAAGACCCUAUGGAGCUUUAAACACACUAUUAACUACUACAAUAAUUUUAACCGACAGGCAAAAAAUCAUAAACCACAUAAUCAUAAUACAAGUUUUAGGUUGGGGCGACCACGGAGCAAAAAAAAUCCUCCGAGAUAAACAAUUUAGAAUAACACUUCGAAAAUUAAAACAUUUAUUAUAAAUGAUCCACUAAGUGACCAACGAACCAAGUUACCCUAGGGAUAACAGCGCAAUCCUUUCUAAGAGUCCAUAUCGACGAAUGGGUUUACGACCUCGAUGUUGGAUCAGGACACCCAAAUGGUGCAGCCGCUAUUAAAGGUUCGUUUGUUCAACGAUUAAAGUCCUAC
rnacentral:rRNA from 1 species